AAUACAUUUUUCUUUUGCAAUCUGCAUCUGAAGCCAGCUAUCUUGCAGGCAGUACCGGUACGCAAGAACACUAGGAUCGUGGUGUAAUGGAAAUAUAUGUUGUUGCUACUAUAAUCAAGAAUUGGCUUCGCCCAGCAAAGUUUAGGAUUGAUGCAAGGAACAAUAGAAAAAUCAAGAAGGCCAUUUGGGAGAUGAAGAAGACCAGAAUUAUUU